ACUCAAAUGAAUUGACGGGGGCCCGCACAAGCGGUGGAGCAUGUGGUUUAAUUCGAUGCAACGCGAAGAACCUUACCUACUUUUGAAUCCUAGGAAUUUGGCUGAGAGGUCGAAGCGCCGAGAGGAGCCUAGAGACAGGUGCUGCAUGGCUGUCGUCAGCUCGUGUCGUGAGAUGUUGGGUUAAGUCCCAUAACGAGCGCAACCCUUAUUUCUAGUUACCAGCACGUGAAGGUGGGGACUUUAGAGAGACAGCUGGCGUUAAGCCAGAGGAAGGGGGGGAUGAUGUCAAGUCAUCAUGGCCUUUAUAAGUAGGGCUACACACGUGCUACAAUGGUGAAUACAAAGGGAGGCGAACCAGCGAUGGGGAGCGGACCCUCUAAAGUUCAUCGUAGUCCGGAUUGGAGUCUGCAACUCGACUCCAUGAAGCUGGAAUCGCUAGUAAUCGCAAAUGAGCAUGUUGCGGUGAAUACGUUCUCGGGCCUUGUACACACCGCCCGU
rnacentral:rRNA from 1 species